UAAUUUUCAAAAAUAUACUGAUUGAUUUGGGGUACACGUGCCCAAAAACUAAUAAUGAUAAAAAUACGGAUUAACAUAUAUCUCACUUCACUAUGGUUGAUUUUGGAUGGAUAUAUAUGAUAUAAUAUUAUUGGAAACAACUUUUUUACCUCAAAUAAAAUAAGAGUAAGAUCUGUGUAUAUAUUAUCCUCCCCAAACUUCACCUAUGAGAUUACAUAGGUUAUAUUAUUUUUAUACUAUACUAUACAUUAUAAAAUUACCGAUACAAACUUAAUCAGUACUCAUAUGGACUGAUUUCUCUUUUCUCUUUAGUUACAUUUCAUCAACAUUUAUUUAGUCUCAGCAAGUCUUGGACUCUAGUCAUUCUAUCCAAGUUCUGCGGACAUCGAAACUAACAUUAAUAUAAAAAGCCUAAACCUUGAACUCUAAACCCUGAAUAUUAAUAAAGAGAGCCUAACUAAGAAGACGCUUAGUUCCAAAUAAAGGAAAAGACCUUUGAACUUUCUUAAGAAAAUACUUAGAGUUCAUAGAUUUUGAACAUGAACUCGAAUAAUUCGAAGAAAUUGAUAACUCGUUUGAGCUUGCUGCUUCUCUGUCAUCUUCUUUGAUAGUUUCUAACAUCUUCGAUGCUCGAUUUCUCAUUACAUUUACAAACUGUGGUGGUGCUGUUUCAGUAACAAACUUUGCAAUACGAGCAUUCGCCAUUUUUAGAUUGAAGAAGUUAGAUGAAUGAAACUGGUGUUUGAUGAGAUGUUGGGUUGUUAAUGACAUUACAGAAACACAUAGUAAUAUGGUAUGAAAUUU
rnacentral:lncRNA from 1 species